rnacentral:rRNA from 1 species
UCCGUAGGUGGAUAAUUAAGUCAGGGGUGAAAGUCUGCAGCUCAACUGUAGAAUUGCCUUUGAUACUGGUUAUCUUGAAUUAUUAUGGAGUAGUUAGAAUAUGUAGUGUAGCGGUGAAAUGCAUAGAUAUUACAUAGAAUACCAAUUGCGAAGGCAGAUUACUAAUAAUAUAUUGACACUGAUGGACGAAAGCGUGGGGAGCGAACAGGAUUAGAUACCCUGGUAGUCC